rnacentral:rRNA from 1 species
UCGCUACUACCGAUUGGAUGGUUUAGUGAGGCCCACGGACUGUGGCAACUGGACCGCUUGCGGAUCGGAUGCAUACAGGAAGUGGAACAAACUUGAUCAUCUAGAGGAAGUAA